GGGGGCGUACUGGUUUCGACCAUGUGAACACGCCAGAGGCGGCAUGCCGAGGACGGUUCGUUGGCCUCGUUAAUCAUCGAACCAAACAAAUAAGCUAAUCAAGAACUAGCUCUCGCGGCCUAAGCGCCACGACGUCCGCCACUGGACACCUGCUACGGUGGACGGACGCAACAGCAGGCAUGGCCGAAGGCGGAGACUGCGCGCCCAAGCCGAGAAAAUUCCAUGCAGACUAAGCGGCAGGAUUCGAGUUCGGGCGCCAUCCUGUAUCCGACAAAACAUCCCGGACUAAGCAUGUAGGCGCGGCUGGUUGGUUGACUUGGGACGCGGGUUCAAUUCCCGCCGCCUCCACCA
rnacentral:tmRNA from 1 species